rnacentral:lncRNA from 1 species
UCUCUAAAAUAAAAUAUUAAAAACGAAUCCUAAUUAAUUUACAUCUUGGCAAGUUCGGGCCUCUUAUUAGUUAUUAAAUUAAUGCGAACGACAACUGCACUCGAGCUCGUAAAAAUGGAGAAUUGUUUCGUGCCUUAUUCUACAAGCGAAUAUUACUACAGCUGGUAACUACAUCCUAAUAGUUCAUUAUAAUCGUAACUUCAAUUAAUCCAAAUCAAACUAAAUACAGUCCAGCUAUACAAAGCUGACAGAAAUCUACAUGACAAUAGUAUAAGAAAUAUUCUAAAAUAAAAUAAUGUAUAGAAGAAAAGUUAAAUCAAAACUUCAAACUUCCAUUUUUAUAUGUAUUCAUGCUUCUAUAUUUUCAUCUUACAAUAGCCAGUGUUACAGUCGUGUACCUGGUAUUUGGAAAACAAAGAAGAAGAAGAAGUAAGUAGUGCAGCAAUAGCACAACACAACAACAACAUGUUCAACAACCAAAGCAGUAAACUAGUAACCAAGAGUGCAGGAAGACCCCAGGAAUAGAUUUAAAGACCAAGCAGAAAAUCCAGCAAUAACCAGUGAAGUAGUAACAAUACUAAUUCUGAUACUCAACAGUAAAGAAAAGACCUCACUUUUUGUUUUUAAUUCUCAAAGACUGAAUUCUUAAGUUCUGAAAUUUU